AACCUCUCCGACGAGGUAAAGACUAAGGGACAAGCGCGAGGCGGCACCGAAAACAGCAAGUGAGGAAGGCGAAUAAAGCCAGAAAUCAGCAUGAGAAGAUGAUCAAAAUUCAUAUAUUGAAACAUGAAAAGGUUGAAGAAGAAAUAAAGAAGCACGGAAGUAAUAACAUGGGAUUAUCAGAAAACCUGACUGAUUGUGCUGCUGCUGGCAAUGGUGAUGAUGGACUAAUUCCACAAAGAGCAGAAAACCUGAAAAUCAGCAAUUUCCUAGGACGGAGAAUGAAGAGUAUCAUAGGGUUGAAGAUGGCAUGGCCUGUAUGCUGCAGGUUUUUCUGAGGAAAAACAUUCAUUUCCAUGUCUUCCUGUGAUCUUAUGCAUGCAUUGGAUUACACGGGACUGCAUUCCUUUGCCACAGGGAUAUGUGAAAUGGCGCAAAUCAAGUCACUUGUAUUGACUGCUGGCCAAUCUGAAUAUAGGAGUGCCAGCAGAUUUUUGAUGUGUG
rnacentral:lncRNA from 1 species